UAAACUAAUUAUUGAUUAAUAAGUUUUAACUUGAUGAUAUUAGAGUCGUCUCUCAUAUGAGAUAUUAAGUUUAAAUCCCAAUUACCAACCCAAUUGUACCAACAAAAAAUAAGCUGAUUAUUGGAUUUAAAAUCUUCAUAAUCUUUUAAAUUGCCAAUGUUAAAGAAAUGGAUUGAAUCAUGGACUACAAUUAAGAUAUAAUCAUUUAUUAUUAGAUCUGAAUUAAAAUCAAAAGUAUUGAUUCCUUUGUAAUGAUUUCCAAAUCUUUAGCCUCUUUACAACAUCGAAAUAUAUAGCUAUACAAGCUUUUUCCUCCAUGCAAUAAUCUAACCCUAAAUUACUAGGCAUCCUUUGUCAAUUGAAUUCCAUCAAAUCUAUGAUCUCUCUCCAUAAAAAUUCAAAUGCUCUUAAUACAGCUGUGUAAUCCUAUUCCGUUCAAACUGAUCAUAGGCAUGCCUUGUCCUUAAGAAUAACAGCAAGCUAGAACCUAACCCCAAUACUGAAAGGCACCCCCACCACACAAAGGUUAAGAAAUAGCAUUUCCUCCCCAUGCAAAUCAUAGAAUCAGUAAUGAUGCCUAGGCCACUACUCCUUGCAUUAGAAUCAUACACGAUAGCAGCAAGAAAUCCAUAAACAAGUGACCCUAUUGGAAUGUUGGUAAUAAGAAUGUUAUGGUUCACACCUAUGCUGUUCGGUCCGAAUAGCUCAGAUGUUAUCGAAACAGCUGCAGCGAAUAUGAACCCAGAACUCAAUCCAACUAAUGCAGUACCUAUCUUCAAUGCCAGUGGACUGCCUGAUAUAGCAAGAAAGAAGAAAGCAAUUGGAGUUGGCACAAGAGCAAUGGUUAGCCAUGCAGUCCUUGCAAAGUACAUCUUCACCCGUAAAUAGUCCGGUGCAGCAGACAGCAAUCGGCCAAAAAAGGAAAAGGCUGAAUACAAAGUGAGAAGAGUUGUAGUGUUCAUGCUUUGUCCCAGUGAUUGUGCUAUUUGGCCUAGGUUGUUGCUGUACACCAGGCCAAUUGUGCCUCCACAAAAAUAUGCAGUGUAAUAUAGCCAAAAAUCCAACCUUCGUAUCAGCAAACAUGCUGGAUGCUCUUCCCCAAGCAUUGCCAGUCUAUCUUUCCCAACCAUUGUCUCACAGCACCCUUCUUUUUGGCUUGAGCUUUUCUGUCUUGUAACCCCAUUGAUGAUUCCAUCCCUAUUCUCGUGAUUACUCAUCUCAUGGGUAAGGAGCUCUUUAUGAAGCUCAAGAUCAUCAACAUCCACAAGAAUGAAGCCAGAGCCUUGAAGGCGGAAACUAGAAUGAAUGUUACGGUGAAACCAGUCUCUAGCAUAAACAACACCAGGGAUACACAAUGGGAACAUGAGAAGGAAAAUUGCUCCAGCUAAGAAUAGAGAAGCUCUUGUUGAAUUAGAUGUGUUUGAACUGAAGAGAAGGAGAUAGAUUCCUGUGAGGAUGGCUAAGAAAUUCAAUAUGAGAAAUAUGAGGGAAUCACGGCGAACUCCAUCAGGAGAGAGAGGAUCUAAAGAUGGUUGGCGAAGAAUUGGGAGCAAUGCUACAAUGGAAGUGAUAAGGGGAACAACGGCAUUUAAAAGAAGAUAUAUAUCAUCUGAUGAUGAAUCUAUUGCAUUGCCAGCAAGAGUGUAUAACGCUGCACUAACACCAUUGAAGCCUACAGUAAGGGAUAAAGCUAGGGAUCUGCUAGCUGGGAAGUUUUGAAUACAGAGGACAAAACAUACAGUGUUGAACCAGCAGAUGCUACAUCCAGCCAGCAAACAAAGGAGAAAUACCUGCCAUAUUUUUCAGAAUAACAUGUAUGUAUUUAUGGUCAAGGCCGCAAAAGAAAUUAAAAUUUAGGAAAAUAUAAACAUUUUUGCAUAAUAUUGAUUUUAAAAUUUUAUCCUAUAUCUAUCCAGAACAUGUUAUUUAUAGAUAGACAGUAAUUGAUGUAGCCUAAACAUAUACAUAAUGUUCACAUUUUAGUAUCAACAGAUUUGCAUAAAUUUUUAUCUCAACAUUCAGGGCACGCUUGGUUUAGCAGUUUUUGUUAGCAAUUGGCGGUUGAAGAGUGAAAAAUAUAUAGCUACAAAUUCCAGCCUUCAAUGUAUAAUUUUGAAUCAUUAACUGUUGCAUUUUAAAACACUGCUCUAAUCACCAUGCUUGGCAAACCCCCCAGACCAACUGUUGGGAGCGUGAAUGCCAAAAGCUCAUCUAACCAGUCACUUAAAUCGAAAGUGGAGAUGCUUUCAAUUGUACUUGUUAGUGAAAUCAUUUCUAUUUGUGCUUAUUAUAGUACAUAUUCAUAUUAAAUUUAUAGUGCUGCUUUCUAGGGUAUAUCCAUUGUCCGCUGUGAAAUUGGCAAGAGAAGGUUUCAAAUUUAUCAACAGAAGUCAUUUUAAACAAGUAGAAUAAAAUAUUAAUUUUGAUAAAACAAAAUCAUCAUUUUUUGGGAAUGCUGCUUUUUAACUAAAUUAAUUUUGAUUUUUAGAGAAAGAAGAUGACUUCAACUUGAAAGAAAAAGAGCAGAAAGAAUCAAGAAACACAUACAAGCUAACUCAUCUCUCACAUGAAGCUACUAAAUGCUGAUUUAUUAGGCAAGCUACCCUUAGACAACUGGAAAAAACAAAGGGCCUAAAAUAUAUAAAUGCAGCAAAAUUGUCUGCAUUUAUUGCUAAUCCAUGGAAAUAAGUUGAAAAUCAUCAUUGCAGAAAGAUCUUGAAUUCAUGGCCUUCAGUUCAUGAUCUAGGAAUCCCAACUAGCAUUCACAUCAUGACCCACCAUAAUAAUAAAAUCUCAUCGAUGUAUUGAUGGUCUUGUAUAGAAUUUUUAGAUUACAUAUGUCCUCAAAAUCAGGGUUAUUGAUAUUUUGGCUUAAACAAAGAUAAUAGAAAAAGAAAAAUAAAUGGUGUUAAGGUAGUAUGCCAACUUUUAAACCCCUGAACUCUUAUAGUAUAAUACAAAUAAACCAGGGAACUAGUAGCCAAAUCGCUAUUCUGUACGCUUGAAAUUAUUGAUGUAUCACGGAAUGAAGUAAGAGAAUCAGAGAAAAGAUGACAAAGAAACAAAUUAGAAGGAUUUGAAAGAGGAAGGUGCUUUGCACAUCACAAGUUUGGAAAUAUGUGAAAUGUGAUCACCAUAUGUGUAAUGGGCUAUCAGCAGUAUGUGGUAGAAAAAUUAUGGCACGUUAGGACACCAAGUGAGUGCAGGGAAGUUUCUCUUCCCAGGUUGGAAGAAACUUUUUGAUGAUAAUAUGUAUAAAUUAUAAGUUGUCCAUAUUUGCCACUUGGGAGUUCAUUGAUUUGUCCAUUCUAACUUUCUAAGGAACAGACUUUAACCAAGUACGAGAUGUUGGUGGGAGAGAAUCACUCAGCACUCAACAGCAGCUAUUGAAAAAAAAAAGGUUAAUAAAUUAAAUUAAAGUAAAAAUUAAAAAUCAAAAUAAAGACAAAAUAACAACUAAGUCUUAAUCUCA
rnacentral:misc_RNA from 1 species